AGAUUGAACGCUGGCGGCAUGCCUAACACAUGCAAGUCGAACAGGAGUAGCAAUACUCUAGUGGCGGACGGGUGAGGAAUACGUAGGAAUUUGCCCUUAAGUGGGGGAUAACCCGGGGAAACCCGGAUUAAUACCGCAUGACCUCGAAAGAGCAAAGUGGGGGAUCGCAAGACCUCACGCUUUUGGAGAAGCACGUCGGAUUAGCUAGUUGUGAGUAAUGGCUCACCGAAGGCGAACGAUCCGUAACUGGUACUGAAGAGGGAUGAUUCGAAUCGACACCGGA
rnacentral:rRNA from 1 species